rnacentral:lncRNA from 1 species
GCAGAAUAUGUAUGCUACUAUGUUUAUGAUACUCAAGCAUGUAUUUUAUUAAGCUUUUUCACUUCUUCAAAAGCUAGUUAACUAUCCCAUACAUUCUGUGUACAAUACUCUCUCUGAUAAAGUAACCGUGUGGUUUCUGUCUCCUGACAGGACCCUGGCAGGUACAAAGGGAAUUUUUCUUAAAUUCACCACUCUGGCCCCUUCUUGUCUAGAAAGGUGUCUUGAAUUUGGUUUAUUUUAAAAGUGUGCCUUGGUUUGGUUUAUUUAUUUAUUUUUUAAUUCAAAAAAAUUAUUUUUUAUUUUCCCACUGUACAGCAAGGGGAUCAAGUUGUCCUUACAUGUAUACAUUACAAUUACAUUUUUCCCCCACCCUUUGUUCUGUUGCAACAUGAGUAUCUAGACAAAGUUCUCAAUGCUACUCAGCAGGUUUAUUUUUUUAUGAUUUUUAUUUUGUCCAUUAUUGUUGGUUUACAGUGUUCUGUCAAUUUCUACUGUACAACAAAGUAACCCAGAUACACACACACAUGUAUAUUCUUUUUCUCAUAUUUUCCUCCAUCAUGCUCCAUCACAAGUGACCAGAUAUAGUUCCCAGCUAGGGGUCGAAUCGGAGCUGUAGCCACUGGCCUACGCCAGAGCCACAUCAACGCAGGAUCCGAGCCGCAUCUGCAACCUACACCACAGCUCACGGCAACGCAGGAUCGUUAACCCACUGAGCAGGGGCAGGGACCGAACCCGCAACCUCAUGGUUCUUAGUCGGAUUCGUUAACCACUGCGCCACGACAGGAACUCCUGCUCUGGUUUUUAAAAAAAAGCCACUGAGCUUGCUGUAACAGAUACAUGCAUGCCGUUAAUACUGGUAAUAUGAAUAUUGUAUAGAUUUGCUUGUCCCUACACUGAGUGGUUCCAGAUGGCUGUGAUGUAUAAGAAUGAGGUCAAUAGUGAGAACAGACACAAAAAAACUUUGAAAUAAAACCCAACUCCUAUUUAUUUGGGUAGUAUAUAUGGAUCUAUGUAUGUAUAUAUACAUACACAUGGUGGAUAUAAAAAUAUAUAUGUGUAUAUCACACACAUUUCCUUCACUUUUUUCUGUUGUUGUUGUUUAAGUGUUCAUGGUCUCCUUUCACCCUAUUUGCUCAUCAAGCCUUUCUCUCUAUUGUAGUCUGUUGUCCUCUAGAGGAAAGGGAAGAAAAGAGUAUGCUGACUGCUAUGGGUCCUGAGAAACUCAAACCAGAAAUGGGGCUUCCUCUUACCUGUAGUGUUAGACCCUGUAUAAGGACAGGGAGUACCAGAAGUGUGUGUGUAUGUGUGUGAAAAAGCAGAGAAAGAAAUUUAAUAUUUAAUGGUCAACUACUAAGACUGUUAGAGGCACCAGAGCAACAAGAGAUGGGUAUCAGGAUGGACAGAACCAGUAAAGAUACAAGAACCAGGAGAUUAAAAACAGUGAGCUAAAGACAGUCUGGCUAAAUGUGUGACUCUUCAUGACUUUGACUGAUCAUUUAUGUACAAAGAAUAAGUUUGUGUUAAUGGACAUGAACAAUUUAAAGAACCUAGGGGGACAGAGCAGGGUGCAUUUGCCAAUCUGCCUUUUUCUCAAAGAAGAACUCCAGAUUCUCUUUCCCUACAAUUUUCUAUUUAUAGUCUGCUAUAGAUUAGAGAUCUGGAUGAUGAAAUUGUUAUACUGCUGUUCACAUUAAAGAUAAGACAGUUGUGAAUGAAAUUAUGUUUCCAGAAGUGUCUGGGAUUUAGCCCACGAAUGGUUUGAUGCAUACAGAAGUCAUUAUGGCAUGUUCUUUCAGGAGAGCAAGUACUUUCAGAUAUGUAAGUGUCAUAUAUGAUAAGAGUAAAUUAUUAUAUAUAAUUAUUAAAUAUGUUUCUUAUACAGUCUAAGGGGUGUGAAGAAUUAUGAAGCUUUUAUAAUAAAAGUAAAGUAUAAUUUCACAAUUACUUGGAAAUUUUACAUUCAAGAAGUUGUAAAAUAAUGAUAAUGAGAUAUUUCAUUAGGAAGAAUAUAUAUAACUACAUUAAGAAAAAAGUACAUUUAAAAUAGUAACCUUUAUUAAGAAUUUUAUGGAAUUCCUGUCAUGGCUUAGUGGUAACAAACCCACCUAGUGUACACGUAGUGAACAUGAAGAUGCAGGAUCAAUCCCUGGCCUCGCUCGGUGGGUUAAGGAUCCGGCAUUGCCGUGAGAUGUGGUGUAGGUCACAGACAUGGCUUGGAUCCUGUGUUGCUGUGGCUGCAGCAUAGGCCAGUAGCUGCAGCUCCAAUUCUCCUAACUGGGGAACUUCCAAACGCCAGGAGUGCGGCACUUCAAAAAAAAAUAAAAAAAAAA